GCCCCGCCUCCCACGCCUGCGCAGUUCCCUCCGGCCUAACCGUGAGAAGAGUACUCCGGGUCGCAGGGCACCAGACAGGGCACCAUCCCAGCCUCAGCCAUGCGCCCCACGGCGCCGAACAGCCUCCUGCUGGCCUGCAGCCUUGCUGUCGUUCCCUUCUUCGUAGUCUCCUGGGAGAUUAAAAUGAGUGACUUAGAGGAGAAAGAUGUUGAUGAAUUCAGCUCCAGUGGUUUUAAGUGCCCAACCUGCUUUGCAGUGCAGGGAAGAAAAUGUGAUACACAACUCAAAUGGUGUGCAGCAGAUAAAAUAAACUGUGUUGAAUUCUCUGGCAUCAUAAGCACAGGUGUUCGUGACGUAGCUAUUGAAAUGAAGAAAUGCAUAGAAGCACACCUAUGCAAAGAGGUGAUAACUUCUUAUAUGGGUUUUCCAAUUGCUAACGAGAGUAGAAAUUGCAAAUCAGCCAUAAGAAAUGGGGCCAGAGUGAGACCCCCAACUCCCAUCUUCUUUGUUCUCCUCCUGGGGAGGCUACUUCAUUAAGCUCCUGCAAGAGCCCAGCCACCUCCAUUUAUGAAUUAAACAUGCAUUUUUGUUUAUGUAUUC